rnacentral:rRNA from 1 species
UACGUAGGGUGCAAGCGUUGUCCGGAAUUAUUGGGCGUAAAGAGCUCGUAGGCGGUCUGUCACGUCGGCUGUGAAAACCCGAGGCGUCAACCUCGGGCCUGCAGUCGAUACGGGCAGACUAGAGUUCGGUAGGGGGAGACUGGAAUUCCUGGUGUAGCGGUGAAAUGCGCCAGAUAUCAGGAGGAACACCGGUGGCGAAGGCGGGUCUCUGGGCCGAACUGACGCUGAGGAGCGAAAGCGUGGGAGCGAACAGG